rnacentral:rRNA from 1 species
CAGCCGUACCUGCGGAUAAUCAGCCUUUAGGAUGCGAUUUUGUGGAGCGUGAGGAGCUAAUCGCCUUCGUGCCUAUAUAUUUGUGCUCUUGGGUGUACUUGUCUGUGUGGUAGGUUAACAUCAAUUUCGGUCGGCAUAAAAUGAUUAGAGGAACGUAGCUUUGAUCUCGUAUCGAAGUGUUAUAGCCUCUGGUAGAUGUGACGAUUGGGAUUGGAGGAUUGCAACGGAUACCCCUCGGGGCUACCCAUCCUGAUCUCUGAAGGUUGCUCCGGUGCCGAAAGCGUGCUUACGGUCA